rnacentral:rRNA from 1 species
UACGUAGGGUGCAAGCGUUGUCCGGAAUUAUUGGGCGUAAAGAGCUCGUAGGCGGUUUGUCGCGUCGGAUGUGAAAACCCGGGGCUCAACCCCGGGCCUGCAUUCGAUACGGGCAGACUAGAGUUCGGUAGGGGAGUCUGGAAUUCCUGGUGUAGCGGUGAAAUGCGCAGAUAUCAGGAGGAACACCGAUGGCGAAGGCGGGACUCUGGGCCGAUACUGACGCUGAGGAGCGAAAGCGUGGGGAGCGAACAGG